rnacentral:tRNA from 1 species
GCGCCCGUAGCUCAGUUGGAUUAGAGUGUUGGCCUCCGAAGCCAAAGGUCAGAGGUUCGAGUCCUCUCGGGCGCACCA